CGGCAAGCAAGCAAACAUACAAGCAAACAAACAAACAAAAGAGAACCCA
rnacentral:ribozyme from 1 species